CCCCGUGUCCCUGUGUCCCCAUGUCCCCACCACUGUGCUGUCCCUGUGUCCCCCUGUCCCCAGCCGCUGUCCUGUCCCUGCGUCCCCAUGUCCCUGCCGCCUCGUGGUGGCCCUGUCCCCGUGGUGUCACGCUGCCCGUGUCCUUGGCUGCAGCGCUGUCCCCACGUUCCUGUGUCCCCACCGUGUCGCUGUGCCCGUGUCCCUGCGGCGUCACGGCGCCCGUGUCCCCGCUGUGACGGUGUCCCCGCGUCCCCGCAGGACGUGGGGCUCCUGGGCCGGCCCCGAGCACGACCGCUUCAGCGCCAUGAAGUACGAGCACGGCACGGGCUGCUGGCAGGGCCCCAACCGCUCCACCACGACGGCGGUGACGGCCACGACGGAGCCGAGCCGCUGCGAGUACCUCAUGGAGCUGCUGACGCCGGCGGCCUGCCGCGAGCCGCCCUCGCGCGAGGACCACGACGAGCUCUGAGCCAGAUACCUGCGAUCCCGUUUCCCGUUCCCGCGUUCCCAGCCGCUCACCUUCAAAUCGGCGUCCGGAGUCGUCCGCAUCCGGACUGCAGCUCUCCGAUCCGCUCUCGGGUCCCGGCGGCUCCCGCUGCUCCCUACCGCGUUCGGCCGGGCUCCUCCGCCGCCGCCGCCGGCCGCUCUCCUCGCCGCGAUUCCCGCCCCACGGGAAUGAACGGCCCGGACUCGAGACGUGGCGCAGCUCGAGACCUUCAUCGCUUGGUUCUGAGCGUGUUUGAGGAGUUUGAGCUGCUCCGGGGGUCUCGCGGAGGCGCUUUGCCGAGCCGGUCGUCGCGCGGGUCGUGUCCCGGGGAGCCGGUCGUCGCACCUCGCACGGGCCCUCGUGCACCCCAGUCCCCCCCCCGGCUGCCUCCGCUGCCUCAGUUUCCCCACUCUGGAACGGGGUCUGUGAUGGGGGGGGGGGCAGCCCCUGCCUCAGUUUCCCCUCCGGGGGGGGUGAUUAUUGCCCCAAGGGGGCGAUUCCUGCCCCCGUUGCCCUGGAAGGGGUCACAGUGGCCCUGGGGGGGGUCACGGUGGCCCUGUGAGGGGGGGGCACAGUGGCCCUGGGGGGUUUCUCAUGCUGGUGGUGGUGGGGGGGACG
rnacentral:lncRNA from 1 species